rnacentral:rRNA from 1 species
AACGAACGCUGGCGGCAGGCUUAACACAUGCAAGUCGAACGCUCGUAGCAAUACGGGAGUGGCAGACGGGUGAGUAACGCGUGGGAACAUACCCUCCGGUUCGGAAUAGCUCAGGGAAACUUGGAUUAAUACCGGAUACGGCUGAGAGGCGAAAGAUUUAUCGCCGGAGGAUUGGCCCGCGUUCGAUUAGCUUGUUGGUGAGGUAACGGCUCACCAAGGCGAUGAUCGAUAGCUGGUCUGAGAGGAUGAUCAGCCACAUUGGGACUGAGA